CCUACGGGAGGCAGCAGUGGGGAAUAUUGGACAAUGGGGGGAACCCUGAUCCAGCGACGCCGCGUGAGUGAAGAAGUAUUUCGGUAUGUAAAGCUCUAUCAGCAGGGAAGAAAAUGACGGUACCUGACUAAGAAGCCCCGGCUAACUACGUGCCAGCAGCCGCGGUAAUACGUAGGGGGCAAGCGUUAUCCGGAUUUACUGGGUGUAAAGGGAGCGUAGACGGUGCAGCAAGUCUGAUGUGAAAGGUCGGGGCCCAACCCCGGGACUGCAUUGGAAACUGUUGAACUGGAGUGCAGGAGGGGUAAGCGGAAUUCCUAGUGUAGCGGUGAAAUGCGUAGAUAUUAGGAGGAACACCGGUGGCGAAGGCGGCUUACUGGACUGUAACUGACGUUGAGGCUCGAAAGCGUGGGGAGCAAACAGGAUUAGAUACCCCAGUAGUC
rnacentral:rRNA from 1 species